rnacentral:lncRNA from 1 species
AUGGAUACAUUUCCGGCGAAGAAUACUGUGGUCUUGGGCCGCAGCGUUGACAUGCGCUCCACUACGAGUACCCUACUUCAUGGCUUGCGGCCACGAUUGCCUGAAUCGCUACAUUAUCCUGAGAGGAUUUGCCUUCGUCGUUUGAUGCCCGCCGAGCAAGUCAUUGAUGGACAUGCAGACAUGCAGAAUAAAAUCGAUCAGCAUCGAACGAAUUAGCAUGCAAUUGCAUGCACAGAUCCAAUCCUUAAUGCAUUGACUGGUUACUUCACUGCUCUUUCGUUGAAACCAAUCAACUAAUCUAUGCAUUAUUCUCUCGUCUUGUCUUUCGAUCAGCACAUACGAACGAUCUGUGACAGAGUGUCCCAUGCCAUUGGAAUGGGAUCGAGCGGCGGCGUUCUAAGAGACGCGUGUGGACCGGCGGCAGCACAUGUCAACGAUAACUCCGGUGUCCAUAACGAACGAUGCCAUCAGCCCCGACGCAGACGUGGCCUACCGGCUAGCACGCGACGCCCUCCGAUGCAAAGGAGAGACAGUGAAUUAUUUGAACUCUUUAUUUGUCUCUUUGCAUUCAUUCUAAGCAUCAACCGAAAGAAAUCCAUGAUCAAGGAAGAGAAAACCUCAAUCAAUCAAGAAGAAUCAUCAAAUCAUACAAACAGAAGAAGGUAUCAUGUCUUUCUCGCCAUCACUGCAGCGGCAGCAACCUCGUCGAGGACGCGCGCAUAAGCAUCACUACUCCGAGCGGACCUCGGCCCGGCUCCUCGCAGCGCAGCCGCAUCACGCGAUGGAGGUGGCCCUGCGCUCAAGUCCGAGCAAACGGCCGCAGUCGGCGUUGCCCUGGCGCACAGCACCACGCACACCUCAAUGCCACGACCCGCACGACGGCAGCGCCUUUCGGCGCGGCGACCUCCUCCCCACAACUACGGCGGCAUAGAAAAAAAAAUCCCCUUACAGGAAAGGGAGCACAGCCCGGCGACGACGGGCGGCGCAUCAGCGUCUCUAAGCAGGCAACAAUGGGGAUGGUUUCUCAAUGGCCUACAGCCCACCACACACGCGCAGGAGAUGAGAUUGGAAAUCCUUAUCCAAUUGGCAUAGUUGCACUUUCGUCCUACUAUUUUAUCUACUAUCAGAGAGGACCUGUAUUUCUUACUCAAGCCCUUAGGCUUGUUUCAGUAUACAAAACAGCCUUGGGAAUAUAGAUGCUAAUCAAGUCAUCAUCUUUGUCUUUACCGCAAAUAUUCUUUAUGACAUGCAAU